rnacentral:rRNA from 1 species
AGAAUCAACGCUGGCGGCGUGCCUAACACAUGCAAGUCGAACGCGAAAGUGGAGCAAUCCAUGAGUAGAGUGGCAAACGGGUGAGUAACGCGUGGGUGAUUUGCCUCAGGGUGGGGGAUAACCUUCCGAAAGGAGGGCUAAUACCGCAUGACAUCGCGCUCUUCGAUGAGCGUAGAUCAAAAGCUGGAACCCGCAAGGGUCUGGCGCCUGGAGAGAAGCCCGCGUCCGAUUAGCUAGUUGGUGAGGUAAUGGCUCACCAAGGCGACGAUCGGUA